rnacentral:rRNA from 1 species
UGCCCGAAGGGUGACGAUGCGACGCCGCGUGAGCGAAGAAGGCCCUAGGGUUGUAAAGCUCUGUCAGGGGUUAAGAAAUGUAGAUAGGUUAAUACCCUGUUUAUUUGACAAAAGCCCCAAAGGAAGCCACGGCUAACUCUGUGCCAGCAGCCGCGGUAAUACAGAGGUGGCGAGCGUUGUUCGGUAUUAUUGGGCGUAAAGAGCACGUAGGUGGUUUUGUAAGUCAGAUGUGAAAGCCUUCUGUUCAAAGGAGGAACGGCAUCUGAAACUGCAAAUCUUGAGUGUAGGAGGGGAGAGUGGAACUUCUGGUGGAGCGGUGAAAUGCGUAGAUAUCAGAAGGAACGUCGGCGGCGAAAGCGACUCUCUGGCCUAUUACUGACACUGAGUGUGCGAAAGUUAGGGGAGCAAACGGGAUUAGAUACCCCGGUAGUCCUAACCGUAAACGAUGGGCACUAAGUAGAGGGGU